rnacentral:rRNA from 1 species
AUUGAACGCUGGCGGCAGGCCUAACACAUGCAAGUCGAACGGUAACAGGAAGAAGCUUGCUUCUUUGCUGACGAGUGGCGGACGGGUGAGUAAUGUCUGGGAAACUGCCUGAUGGAGGGGGAUAACUACUGGAAACGGUAGCUAAUACCGCAUAACGUCGCAAGACCAAAGAGGGGGACCUUCGGGCCUCUUGCCAUCGGAUGUGCCCAGAUGGGAUUAGCUAGUAGGUGGGGUAACGGCUCACCUAGGCGACGAUGCCUAGCUGGUCUGAGAGGAUGACCAGCCACACUGGAACUGAGCCACGGUCCAGACUCCUACGGGAGGCAGCAGUGGGGAAUAUUGCACAAUGGGCGCAAGCCUGAUGCAGCCAUGCCGCGUGUAUGAAGAAGGCCUUCGGGUUGUAAAGUACUUUCAGCGGGGAGGAAGGGAGUAAAGUUAAUACCUUUGCUCAUUGACGUUACCCGCAGAAGAAGCACCGGCUAACUCCGUG